AAAAGAUUUCUUUAUUGCAGAUUCAUAAAACUCUGAUCUGAGAUCAGAGUUUUAUGAAUUUGCAAUAAAAUCCUUUU